GACGAACGCUGGCGGCGUGCUUAACACAUGCAAGUCGAGCGAUGAAGCACCUUCGGGUGUGAAUUAGCGGCGAACGGGUGAGGAACACGUGAAGAAUCUGCCUUCAACUCUGGGAUAACUCCGGGAAACCGGGGCUAAUACCGGAUAUGAGCCUUGAUCGCAUGAUCGGGGCUGGAAAGUUUUUCGGUUGAAGAUGACGUCGCGGCCUAUCAGCUUGUUGGUGAGGUAAUGGCUCACCAAGGCGACGACGGGUAGCCGGCCUGAGAGGGCGACCGGCCAUACUAGGACUGAGACGCGGCCCAGACUCCUACGGGAGGCAGCAGUGGGGAAUAUUGGGCAAUGGAGUAAACUCUGACCCAGCGACGCCGCGUGAGGGAUGAAGGCCUUCGGGUUGUAAACCUCUUUCAGUAGGGAAGAAGCGAAAGUGACGGUACCUACAGAAGAAGCACCGGCUAACUAUGUGCCAGCCGCCGCCGUAA
rnacentral:rRNA from 1 species